AACCCAAACACCUGGUUAAGACACCUAACUUCUAUUUGCUCAUAGCCCAACCUGAUCAGGAUGUUGACCAGUUGUUUUGGAUGACAGCAGAGCUGUAAGCACCGUCAUAGACACACACAUGUUCUGUUAUCCAGGCUACGUUGCCAGGAUGCAUUUUUGUCUUUUAAGUGAGAAAACACUUCUGGAGCCUUCAUCAACUAAAUCCUGUGUCAAACUAAAACAUGUGAAAAGUCAUCCAGUGCCAGGCUUCCAGGAAGGUGGACUCACCUUUUUUUUUUUUUUGUUCAAUGCUGGCACUCACAUUUAGAAGCUGAUGCUUAAUGCUUGAUGCUUAGAAGCUGAAGCCUUAAUAUGUCCAGCUAUUGCUACAAUUAUGUCCCAAUAGGCCUUUUCUUCUUCUAAUGACAAGUGCUUAUAUAUGGUGACUAGAUCUUCUCAACAUUUCCUUCAAUUUCCUUUAAAAUAUAUAUAUUUUUUAAAGUCUUUUUUCUCAAACAUGUCUCAGUACUUGUUCAUAGUUGAUUUAAUAGGUAAAAGAGACAAAC
rnacentral:lncRNA from 1 species